GUAAAAACUCGAAAUGAGAAAAUAAUAAUUAACGGUGGGGAUCGUAAGCUACGAGAAGUAUUAGUGUGACCCACGUAUCUAAUAUAGAAUCUUUCUAAUGUACGGUGGAUUUCCAUGUUUGUGGGCCCCAGUUUAGUCCAUACCAAACUACAUUCACGCCUCAUCAGUCAUCACUACUCCCUCUCGCUACUCUCUAUGGUAAUUCAUUACUAAUAAUAUUUAAC
rnacentral:lncRNA from 1 species